GGGACGGGUGAGUAAUGCCUAGGAAUCUGCCUGGUAGUGGGGGACGAACGUUUCGAAAGGAACGCUAAUACCGCAUACGUCCUACGGGAGAAAGCAGGGGACCUUCGGGCCUUGCGCUAUCAGAUGAGCCUAGGUCGGAUUAGCUAGUUGGUGAGGUAAUGGCUCACCAAGGCGACGAUCCGUAACUGGUCUGAGAGGAUGAUCAGUCACACUGGAACUGAGACACGGUCCAGACUCCUACGGGAGGCAGCAGCA
rnacentral:rRNA from 1 species